GCAGCAGUAGGGAAUCUUCGGCAAUGGACGCAAGUCUGACCGAGCAACGCCGCGUGAGUGAAGACGGUUUUCGGAUCGUAAAGCUCUGUUGUAGGGGAAGAACGUGUGUAAGAGUGGAAAGCUUACACAGUGACGGUACCCUACCAGAAAGGGACGGCUAACUACGUGCCAGCAGCCGCGGUAAUACGUAGGUCCCGAGCGUUGUCCGGAUUUAUUGGGCGUAAAGGGAGCGCAGGCGGUUUAGUAAGUCUGAAGUUAAAGGCAUUGGCUCAACCAAUGUAUGCUUUGGAAACUGUUAGACUUGAGUGCAGAAGGGGAGAGUGGAAUUCCAUGUGUAGCGGUGAAAUGCGUAGAUAUAUGGAGGAACACCGGUGGCGAAAGCGGCUCUCUGGUCUGUCACUGACGUUGAGGCUCGAAAGCGUGGGUAGCGAACAGGAUUAGAUACCCUGGUAGUCCACGCCGUAAACGCUGAGUGCUAGGUGUUAGGUCCUUUCCGGGACUUAGUGCCGACGCUAACGCAUUAAGCACUCCGCCUGGGGAGUACGACCGCAAGGUUGAAACUCAAAGGAAUUGACGG
rnacentral:rRNA from 1 species